rnacentral:rRNA from 1 species
GAUGAACGCUAGCGGGAGGCCUAACACAUGCAAGCCGAGCGGUAUUGUUUCUUCGGAAAUGAGAGAGCGGCGUACGGGUGCGGAACACGUGUGCAACCUGCCUUUAUCUGGGGGAUAGCCUUUCGAAAGGAAGAUUAAUACUCCAUAAUAUAUUGAACGGCAUCGUUUAAUAUUGAAAGCUCCGGCGGAUAGAGAUGGGCACGCGCAAGAUUAGCUAGUUGGUGAGGUAACGGCUCACCAAGGCGAUGAUCUUUAGGGGGCCUGAGAGGGUGAUCCCCCACACUGGUACUGAGACACGGACCAGACUCCUACGGGAGGCAGCAGUGAGGAAUAUUGGUCAAUGGGUGCAAGCCUGAACCAGCCAUCCCGCGUGAAGGACGACUGCCCUAUGGGUUGUAAACUUCUUUUGUAUAGGGAUAAACCUACCCUCGUGAGGGUAGCUGAAGGUACUAUACGAAUAAGCACCGGCUAACUCCGUGCCAGCAGCCGCGGUAAUACGGAGGGUGCAAGCGUUAUCCGGAUUUAUUGGGUUUAAAGGGUCCGUAGGCGGACUUAUAAGUCAGUGGUGAAAGCCUGUCGCUUAACGAUAGAACUGCCAUUGAUACUGUAAGUCUUGAGUAUAUUUGAGGUAGCUGGAAUAAGUAGUGUAGCGGUGAAAUGCAUAGAUAUUACUUAGAACACCAAUUGCGAAGGCAGGUUACCAAGAUAUAACUGACGCUGAGGGACGGAAGCGUGGGGAGCGAACAGGAUUAGAUACCCUGGUAGUCCACGCCGUAAACGAUGCUAACUCGUUUUUGGGCUUUAGGGUUCAGAGACCAAGCGAAAGUGAUAAGUUAGCCACCUGGGGAGUACGCUCGCAAGAGUGAAACUCAAAGGAAUUGACGGGGGCCCGCACAAGCGGUGGAUUAUGUGGUUUAGUUCGAUGAUACGCGAGGAACCUUACCAAGACUUAAAUGGGAAUUGACAGUUUUAGAAAUAGAACUUUCUUCGGACAAUUUUCAAGGUGCUGCAUGGUUGUCGUCAGCUCGUGCCGUGAGGUGUUAGGUUAAGUCCUGCAACGAGCGCAACCCCUGUCACUAGUUGCCAUCAUUCAGUUGGGGACUCUAGUGAGACUGCCUACGCAAGUAGAGAGGAAGGUGGGGAUGACGUCAAAUCAUCACGGCCCUUACGUCUUGGGCCACACACGUAAUACAAUGGCCGGUACAGAGGGCAGCUACACAGCGAUGUGAUGCAAAUCUCGAAAGCCAGUCUCAGUUCGGAUUGGAGUCUGCAACUCGACUCUAUGAAGCUGGAAUCGCUAGUAAUCGCGCAUCAGCCAUGGCGCGGUGAAUACGUUCCCGGGCCU